GGAAGGGGUGGAGCCAGGAUCCACCCCUUUCCCAGCCCUCAUUUAAGGGUUGGCAGUGGGGGGUGAGGGUGUUUUGCUGGAGAUCCCUGCCUGCCUGAGGUCUUCUAAAGCCCUGUGUGCCAUGGUCUUCAACGCUGGAUGGAGGAAAGAGGUUUGAAGGGGUGAGGAGCUGUGGGAUUAGGCAACAUUUGUGGCCACAGCUAUAGUCCUCUGAAGGUAGAUGUAGGAGCUGGCACCGCCUCGCUGCUUUAUUUGGGUUUCUGAUCCGUUCCUGGAAUGUAAAUUAAAGCAGAGGGAAAAUACAUGGAGUCAAAUCCUGCUGCUGGGUUGCGUAGCUGCAGCAUCCCGAGGAUGUGACACAGGAGAUGGAAGUUGUCAGGAGAGCCACACACCUCCAGCAUCCUCCAGAGCGUGCAUAUGGAGCUGACACUCAAUAAAUAAUACAGGAUUCAGGAUUGAGAUGCAGGGAAGCGCUGUGCUCAGAUGGAGUGCUGUAGGCUCAGAUUGCUGCCCAAUGUCCUGCAGUGGGAAGGGGAAAGCAUCAGUGGGGCAGAAGAGCCCAGACCGGUGUUAGUCCUUGGCAGAAGAGCUUUUCCUUGCUUGGAGCAAGCAGCAGCACUGGGCUUGGGGUUACAUUCAGUGCUCUGUGCUCCCCACUGCCAGGCUGCGAUCUGCUGAUGCUCUAUGCGGUAAUUAAUGCACCGCUAAUUGGAUUUCCAGGGCCUGGAGCUGAGGGGCAGCGGCUGCAGCAGGGGAAGGGACUGAGAGCUUUGCCCACAUCCCCCAGCAUAGCUCUGCACCCGAUGCAACACUGCUGAUAGUGAUGGGCACCACUUCUCCCCUUCUCCAACAAUCCAUUGCCCGUCUGCAUUAAUGCCUUCCCUCCUUUUUGGUCACCUAAUUCAACAGAGGGGAUUAAAGCAUAACUCCCAUAGCACAGAGGCUGCAGCAAGCUGUGGUUCCCCCAUGUUCCUGCUGGAGCACAGCACCUUUCCAGCCCCUCUCCAAAUUAUUCCCAGCAACAGACUAUGGCUUCUUGUCCACCUUGCAAACUGAGGGGGGAGGGCUGGGAAGACCUUUUAUUUUAUUAUCAUGGAUUAAUCAUCGUAAGGGGAGCACGAAGGAUAGGUCAUAAUAAUGGGGGUUUGAAUUACACUUCUAAACUUGGGGCCCCUAAGCCUAAUGAAAUGAGAGUGCACAGCUCAGAGCCAGGUUAAGAGGCUGUGGUGGCUGCUGCCCCUAUGGGAGCACCCGGUGCUGCCUUCCUGAGAGCUCCCAGGGGUCGGAUGGGUUGCAGAGGAGGAGUGUGAGGCACAGCUCAGAGCAGGUCCUGCUCCUGCCUCGGUGUGGGGCUGUCACAGUGUUUGGCUCAUAGCAGCAGGGCCUGAUGCAGAGGGGCCCCACUGGAGGCAGAAAGUCCCUUUGGGGUGAAAAGCCUCGCAGGACAGGGAUGAGCUGCAGGUGAAGUCUGCUGUGUCCAUCCAGCCCCCCCCCCCGCACUGAUGUCUGGGGCUUUGCCACCCCAAUGGGCAUCAGCAGUGCAGAUGGAGACAACAGCUCCAUCCAACUGUGUGUGCCCAACACCCUCCAACACCCUCGAUGACUCCGUGUCUUCAUUUCCAUCAUUCAGCACUAAAUUCUAUCACUUCCAUCAGACAGAGCUGUGAAGAAGGGAUUCUCCUUCACCUGAGUGCCCUUCCCCAGCACCACCGCCUUGCACAACCGCACUGCUUGCAUGGAGGAUCGAUGCCAUCCUCCCUCCUAACACACAGGAAAUGGGGCUCUGUUUCAUUUCUCCUUCCCAUUUUCACUCUUCCUUCCCAAGGAUGCACACUGCUCCACAUACCCGCUGUAACCCGGGCUGCCCCGGGGGAUUUACAGCCUCCAUCCAGUUUUAUUGUUGAUACAGAUCUUUAUCUGCCCCGGGCUUAUAGCUGACAUUUAAAUUACACUGCAAACAAUGAAUCAAUAUUUAUGGAUUACCGGUCCAAUACAUUCACCCAACGAGUUGUUAUGGGAUUCGGUCUCCCAGCAAACAGGACAAUGAGGUCAAGGUCAAGGCUUUGUCUGAUGAGAAACAGGCGCAGACAGGAGCUGCCAGCCCAAUAUUGACUGCCUAAUAGGAAUGCAUUUAUGUUGGUCAUUUAGCUGCACGCAUUGAGCUCUUUGUUAAUUUUCCCAUUCUUGUCAUUUUCCUGCUGAUAACUGUUCAUAAUUUAAAGCCCUGAGCCCGGAGUGCUUCUCCUGCCCACAGCAACACAGGAGCAGAGGUGCCCAUGUGGAGCAGUGUGCACACUCAUACUUGUGCUCACACUUGUGUAAUCCUGGUGCAUGCGGAGCUUGGGUUAUCUGCUGUGUUGGAGCAGAAAUGAUGCUAUUUGCUAUUCUGUUUCACUUCUGUGCCACCUGGCAACUUAGGAACACUGAGUUAUUACAUUUUGUGUGGCCAUCGGAAAGCAGAGGGAGACUAUUGCUUUGAUGAGAGGGCUACAAUUUGCUAAGCCUUGGCUCCUGGCUUCCCAGAGCUGCACAGCGCUGCCAGCUGAGCACAAACAAGGUCAGUGUGCGCUCACUGUUCCCACGCAGAGCCUCCAGACGUGUGCAUGAGGAGGUGAGCAGCCAAGGUCACGAGACAGGAAAAUGAGAGCAGCUCCACUGGCUGGGAGCUGUUUCUGCGUGCCAUGGGGCUGCUCCCUGCAUUGUGCACCACGGGGCUGCUCCUUGUGUGCAAUGGGGCUGCUCCCUGCCUUGUGCGCCACGGGAUUGCU
ensembl:lncRNA